rnacentral:rRNA from 1 species
ACGCUGGCGGCGUGCCUAAUACAUGCAAGUCGAACGAGAGCGACCGGUGCUUGCACUGGUCAAUCUAGUGGCGAACGGGUGAGUAACACGUGGGUAACCUGCCCAUCAGAGGGGGAUAACAUUCGGAAACGGAUGCUAAAACCGCAUAGGUCUUCGAACCGCAUGGUUUGAAGAGGAAAAGAGGCGCAAGCUUCUGCUGAUGGAUGGACCCGCGGUGCAUUAGCUAGUUGGUGAGGUAACGGCUCACCAAGGCCGUGAUGCAUAGCCGACCUGAGAGGGUGAUCGGCCACAUUGGGACUGAGACACGGCCCAAACUCCUACGGGAGGCAGCAGUAGGGAAUCUUCCGCAAUGGACGCAAGUCUGACGGAGCAACGCCGCGUGAGUGAAGAAGGUUUUCGGAUCGUAAAACUCUGUUGUUAGAGAGGAACAAGUGCUAGAGUAACUGUUAGCGCCUUGACGGUAUCUAACCAGAAAGCCACGGCUAACUACGUGCCAGCAGCCGCGGUAAUACGUAGGUGGCAAGCGUUGUCCGGAUUUAUUGGGCGUAAAGCGAGCGCAGGCGGUUCCUUAAGUCUGAUGUGAAAGCCCCCGGCUCAACCGGGGAGGGUCAUUGGAAACUGGGGAACUUGAGUGCAGAAGAGGAGAGUGGAAUUCCAUGUGUAGCGGUGAAAUGCGUAGAUAUAUGGAGGAACACCAGUGGCGAAGGCGACUCUCUGGUCUGUAACUGACGCUGAGGCUCGAAAGCGUGGGUAGCAAACAGGAUUAGAUACCCUGGUAGUCCACGCCGUAAACGAUGAGUGCUAAGUGUUGGAGGGUUUCCGCCCUUCAGUGCUGCAGUUAACGCAUUAAGCACUCCGCCUGGGGAGUACGACCGCAAGGUUGAAACUCAAAGGAAUUGACGGGGACCC